rnacentral:rRNA from 1 species
AACGAACGCUGGCGGCAGGCCUAACACAUGCAAGUCGAGCGAGGACUUCGGUUCUAGCGGCGGACGGGUGAGUAACGCGUGGGAAUGUGCCCUUCUCUACGGAAUAGCCCUGGGAAACUGGGAGUAAUACCGUAUACGCCCUAUUGGGGAAAGAUUUAUCGGAGAAGGAUCAGCCCGCGUUGGAUUAGGUAGUUGGUGGGGUAAUGGCCUACCAAGCCGACGAUCCAUAGCUGGUUUGAGAGGAUGAUCAGUCACACUGGGACUGAGACACGGCCCAGACUCCUACGGGAGGCAGCAGUGGGGAAUCUUAGACAAUGGGGGCAACCCUGAUCUAGCCAUGCCGCGUGAGUGAUGAAGGCCUUAGGGUUGUAAAGCUCUUUCAGCUGGGAAGAUAAUGACGGUACCAGCAGAAGAAGCCCCGGCUAACUCCGUG